rnacentral:rRNA from 1 species
UACGAAGGGGGCUAGCGUUGCUCGGAAUCACUGGGCGUAAAGGGUGCGUAGGCGGGUUAUUAAGUCAGCGGUGAAAUCCUGGAGCUCAACUCCAGAACUGCCUUUGAUACUGAUAGUCUUGAGUAUGGGAGAGGUGAGUGGAACUGCGAGUGUAGAGGUGAAAUUCGUAGAUAUUCGCAAGAACACCAGUGGCGAAGGCGGCUCACUGGCCCAUUACUGACGCUGAGGCACGAAAGCGUGGGGAGCAAACAGG